UAGCCUAGUGGUUAAGGCUAUGGAUUGCCAUUCCGGAAACGGCGGGUUCGAUUCCCGU
rnacentral:tRNA from 1 species